GACGUAGGGUGCAAGCGUUGUCCGGAUUUAUUGGGCGUAAAGAGCUCGUAGGCGGCUUGUCGCGUCGACUGUGAAAACCCGCGGCUUAACUGUGGGACUGCAGUCGAUACGGGCAGGCUAGAGUUCGGUAGGGGAGACUGGAAUUCCUGGUGUAGCGGUGAAAUGCGCAGAUAUCAGGAGGAACACCGGUGGCGAAGGCGGGUCUCUGGGCCGAUACUGACGCUGAGGAGCGAAAGCGUGGGGAGCGAACAGG
rnacentral:rRNA from 1 species